GUGGGGAAUUUUGGACAAUGGGCGAAAGCCUGAUCCAGCAAUGCCGCGUGAGUGAUGAAGGCCUUAGGGUUGUAAAGCUCUUUUACCCGGGAUGAUAAUGACAGUACCGGGAGAAUAAGCUCCGGCUAACUCCGUGCCAGCAGCCGCGGUAAUACGGAGGGAGCUAGCGUUGUUCGGAAUUACUGGGCGUAAAGCGCACGUAGGCGGCUUUGUAAGUUAGAGGUGAAAGCCUGGAGCUUAACUCCAGAACUGCCUUUAAGACUGCAUCGCUUGAAUCCAGGAGAGGUGAGUGGAAUUCCGAGUGUAGAGGUGAAAUUCGUAGAUAUUCGGAAGAACACCAGUGGCGAAGGCGGCUCACUGGACUGGUAUUGACGCUGAGGUGCGAAAGCGUGGGGAGCAAACAGGAUUAGAAACCCGGGUAGUCC
rnacentral:rRNA from 1 species